AACGCACAUUGCGCCCCUUGGUAUUCCGAGGGGCAUGCCUGUUCGAGCGUCAUUAUGACCACUCAAGCCUAGCUUGGUAUUGGGGUUCGCGGUCUCGCGGCUCCUAAAAUCAGUGGCGGUACCGUCUGGCUCUAAGCGUAGUAAUUUUCUCGCUAUAGAGUCCAGGUGUAGUUGCUUGCCAAAACCUUAACUUUUCACGGUUGACCUCGGAUCAGGUAGGGAUACCCGCUGAACUUAA
rnacentral:misc_RNA from 1 species